UCGGCUCGGCGCUAAUCUUGCACUCUAGGUAUUCUGUCUUAGAUCUUCCUAUUUUGAAACCCUUAGACUCGAGAGUCUAUCUCCAUACCUCUAAACUCUCAAUAACACCGACCCUCGUCUCUUCUAUCAAGACUAUGUCAUCAGCAAAUAACAUACACCAAGGAACAUCCCCUUGAAUAUGUCGUGUUAGAGCAUCCAUCACCAAGGCAAACAAGAGAGGGCUAAGC
rnacentral:lncRNA from 1 species